AUUGAACGCUGGCGGCAGGCCUAACACAUGCAAGUCGAACGAGUGGCGGACGGGUGAGUAAUGUCUGGGAAACUGCCUGAUGGAGGGGGGUAACUACUGGAAACGGUGGCUAAUACCGCAUACCAUCAGAUGUGCCCAGAUGGGGUUUGCUAGUGGGUGGGGUAACGGCUCACCUAGGCGACGAUCCCUAGCUGGUCUGAGAGGAUGACCAGCCACACUGGAACUGAGAAACGGUCCAGACUCCUACGGGAGGCAGCAGUGGGGAAUAUUGCACAAUGGGCGCAAGCCUGAUGCAGCCAUGCCGCGUGUAUGAAGAAGGCCUUCGGGUUGUAAAGUACUUUCAGCGGGGAGGCGUUACCCGCAGAAGAAGCACCGGCUAACUCCGUGCCAGCAGCCGCGGUAAUAC
rnacentral:rRNA from 1 species